CUUAGCCCUGACUUCAUCAAGGACUACUGAGAAGUCUUGCUGAUGUCUGUUCAAGUACCUUGAGGUGUCCUGCAAAUACAUGCCUGGGAUGUGUGGUAAGGACGCUGACCUGCAGCGUUGUCUGGAGGGGGUCAGUAUGAGUGUCUAGCAGGGCCUGAGUCACCCCGUUCCUCAGGGCCUGGUAGGACGGACCACAGCACAGGAACCGGUCCACCUCUGCUGGAAUCAGCCUCUGAGAAACACAACAUGUGAAAGUAGGACGUGUAAAGGGCCUAUAAAUCUGGUAGUACCUGGAGUCGGAGGACCUCUGAAGGGAAGGCCCAUCCCCAGGAUGAGGAUCUGUGCAUCAGGGCCAGGACACAAUCUAUCCC